rnacentral:rRNA from 1 species
CAGGUGGUCAGGUAGAGAAUACUCAGGCGCUUGAGAGAACUCGGGUGAAGGAACUAGGCAAAAUGGUGCCGUAACUUCGGGAGAAGGCACGCUGGCGCUAGGUGAAGUGGUUUACCCAUGGAGCUGAAGCCAGUCGCAGAUACCAGCUGGCUGCAACUGUUUAUUAAAAACACAGCACUGUGCAAACACGAAAGUGGACGUAUACGGUGUGACGCCUGCCCGGUGCUGGAAGGUUAAUUGAUGGGGUUAUCCGUAAGGAGAAGCUCUUGAUCGAAGCCCCAGUAAACGGCGGCCGUAACUAUAACGGUCCUAAGGUAGCGAAAUUCCUUGUCGGGUAAGUUCCGACCUGCACGAAUGGCGUAAUGAUGGCCAGGCUGUCUCCACCCGAGACUCAGUGAAAUUGAACUCGCUGUGAAGAUGCAGUGUACCCGCGGCAAGACGGAAAGACCCCGUGAACCUUUACUAUAGCUUGACACUGAACAUUGAGCCUUGAUGUGUAGGAUAGGUGGGAGGCUUUGAAGUGUGGACGCCAGUCUGCAUGGAGCCAACCUUGAAAUACCACCCUUUAAUGUUUGAUGUUCUAACGUUGCCCCGUUAUCCGGGGUGCGGACAGUGUCUGGUGGGUAGUUUGACUGGGGCGGUCUCCUCCCAAAGAGUAACGGAGGAGCACGAAGGUUGGCUAAGCAUGGUCGGACAUCAUGCGGUUAGUGCAAAGGCAUAAGCCAGCUUGACUGCGAGAGUGACGGCUC